UUAAAGGCUGCCAAAGGGAGUGCGGGUUCUUGCAUAUAUGUGGUGAAGUAAAGACUUGUUUGGUCCUUUUAUUUUUUUUUAACUUUUGGGUUUGUUUUUUUUCAUUUCUCUCUCUUUUGGGGGGAAAAAAACACUACUUAUUAGUGUUGGGAUGAAAUAGUUUGGGCAGUUGGGCAUUUUGCUGAGUGGGUAAAAGCCUGUUUGUAAAGUUUGGGAUGAAAUGGAUAGUUUGGGAAAUGUCUACAGUUGCUCUUCUCUGACUGUCAGAAAGAGUAUUUGGUGACAGCCCCUCAACAGAUCAGAAGAAAUCAGCAAGCAUCCACCCUUGGGUAGCCAAGGCAGAGAAAUGCCUCUGCAGAGGAUAAUACACAACAUGGCCAAAGGAUUAAACAGCCCAAGGAGAGAGCACCAUUUGUAUAUUCUGCUACAAGCUCGGUAGCAGUUAUGGAUGCUUCUAAAUCCUGUGAGGCUGUGAAUCUCUGCUUUUUAUUCACAGGGAAUUAAGGGAACACACACACCAUUUGUGGCAGAAAAUGUUUACAUGAGCCCAUGUUACAAGAGAGCAAGACUGACAUGUUCCUGACACAACAGCCAGGUGGUUUGGAGAAUCACCCAAGAGCCAACAGAUCAGGGUUCAAGCUCUUCUGCACCUGAUUUAGGCUAGAGACUUGAACUGAAUUCUCUUACAACAUAGAUAAAUGCCCUCACCACUGGCCUGGUGGUUAUUUUGUGGAAGGAAGGCUUGUUCCAUCUUAGAUGUGAGCAAAUCUCAGAUGGGAGGGGGAAAGGCUGGGAAGGAGAUUUUCAUCUUUUAAACAAAUUCUCCCUAGAGGUGUUUUUUUUUGGUAUGUGUUGUGACUAGCCAUUGUCACCUUCAAGCUGUAUAUUAAGCUGCCUGCAGUGGAAGUUUAUCCAAUUUAAUAUUACCAGCUUUCAAGCCAUGAAGUUGAUUUUCAAAUCCUUGCUUUCUUGUACAAAUCUCUUUGUACAACUGGACCCUUAAGAAGGACAAUGAAAAACCUAAAUGGAGGCACAGAGACCCUGCUGCAAAACCCACUAUGGGCAAUCUCCACGCAGAUCUCAUUUCCCUGUUCUUUGUGUCCCCCAGCUACAGCACAGCACUUCAACAUGUAAUGAAUGGUGUUAUGAACAAUCUGCUUUAUGUAACCGAGACUGAGCAGUUAACGCAUCCCAGCACAGAUCCAGAAGUACAAGGCAGAGCCUUGCUGUGGGCUUGUGGUGACACCUGUCCCAGUCACAUGGUCAUUUGGGCUGUCGAAUCAUUCCCUUGCAUGGCAUGAGUUGCAGAAGCUGAUGUAUCUUAACCAUCCCAGCUUGAGAGGAUCCUUUUUUGAACCAGGAUUUCAAUUGCAGUUUUUGCUUGGAAGAGCAUGCAGUACAAAACACUGGAUCCUGAUCAUCAGGAAGCAAUACAUAGACUUUUUCUCCCAAGAGACUGAGUUCUCUUCCAGAAAACCAUGUCAAUGUCUAAUUGACAUUGAUAGCACAAAAAGUGUGAUUGACUGACAGGCUUUAAUGGAAGAGAGCUGGAUAAGACCACAUAAGCUCUCAAUAGCACCAUUUUAAUUUCUUUCCUGAAGAUGGAGGAUAAGAAGGAACACUCUCUGCCAUCACUUCCCAAAGAAGUCACACCACCUACUUCAGUGAGAACAGCAAAAUCUUGUGGGAAGAGGGAGGUGUCAACAAGCUAAGACUUUUUUUAUCACUGGUUUGUGGCCCUGGGCUCAGUGGAUUGAAGAAUACCCAAAGCCACCUCUAUUCUGGGUAAGUUCUGGUUCUGGGAUCUCAGCGUUUUAAUUACUAUCAUCCAGCAGUUUCAAAUGAUCCCUGUUAACUUUGCAUCAAUGUAAAUGUUUAUUUACAUUGUGAAAAUCGGGAACCCAAUAAGCAUCAUAAAAAUAGGUUGUGGUAGUGCUGCUUCCAGGACUCGGUGACCCAUCUCCCAGCGAUAAGGACGUGCUGAAGCUCUUUUUGUUUGUGACAUUAUAUGUGAACAGAGAGUGAUUAUUUCCAGUGUAUCUCAGAAUUGCCAAAGGUAUUAUUUGGGAUUAUUGCAGUGCAAGUGCUCUUUGCUCAGGUUUACUUAGGUUCUUGGAAAAUACUAAAUGUUGCCUUCCUAAUGCCUGAUCACACCCUGCUGUAAUAAAUGUUAAAACAAAUGAAAAGUAAAGAUUAAAGUAUACCAUAGUUGAACUCCUGAGAUGUAUUGCAACAGCACUUCAGCUUACACUUCAAUUUCCCGCAAAUAGCUUCCUAUCUUAGGUGCCACACAUUGAGAAAAAAAAAAAAAAUAAGCUCCAGUUAGAUUGAAAAUGCAAGACUACCAAUAAGCUGCUAAAUUACUUACUGUUAUCUAUUUUUAUAUUGCAAGCCCUCUUGGCAAUCCAUGUUCUUUACAAAUUAAGUUGCACGGAGGUAUAGUUCUCAAUAGCCAUCAAGUUUCAGCACAAAAUGCCUUAUUUGCAUUUUUUAUGGCUUAAAACUACUAACAUGAAAUGAUUUACUGUUUGUAGGUGGGGGGAAAGGCUACUGAGGAGCUUAUUGUUUGAGUUGGACUUUUUCAGUCUUUAUUGGCAGUGUUUACCUCAAAAUGUUAAAUGUACAGUAGUGGACUAUAUAAUUUAAAAUCGGUCUCAGUCACUAAAGUGUGCUAACGUAUUAUCAUCUAGGAAUCUGCAUAAUAUGCAGGAUUUUGUCCAAUGAAUGGGAUGAUGCUUUUUAAAUUACGCCAAAUAUAUUGCCAAACCGCCAAAGAUAGGAGAGCUGAGGAGCAGAGGUCGCUAGGGGGAUCUCAAACUGAACCUUAAUUUCUGGAUGUAUUCAUAAAAUGGUGAGGGCUGCCAUGGCUCAGAAACACCACUGAUAGAUGGAUAGAGAUACAGGCCUGAUUUUCAGCGGGGUAUAAAAUGGUUUUAAUGAAGCUGUGCCAUUCGGCUUCAGUGGAUGCCAGCAGAGCUGGGCCAGUUUGUGUCCCAUAAAAUGUGUCUAUAGUCAGAAGCAAAGACGGGCUGAAUUCAAGAAUAAGAAGGUUGUGGAUUUCUGAAAUAAGCUAAUUAUCAUUGUUUUUUGAAAAAAAUAUUAUAGUAUUUUUGUAUGUUUGUUUUCCUUGUUGUAAUUAAUGAUCCUUUAGUAAAAAUGUUAUUGCAGAGGAAGCAGGCCUCUCUCCAGCACCAUGUCAGACCUUGAAACUCAGUUCUUCUAGGGAAAUGAGUAUGUUCUCCCCAGAUUUGUAAAUCUAGUUGUGUCUUAGAAGAUAUUGGACUUGAUUUUCCUCUCACCUCACCAGUACAAACUUAAAUGGCCAUCAGUGGAAUUACAUGUGUUGAUGCAAACCUGAUGUGACAGGAGAGUAGGACUCAUUCCUACUUUAUCUGAUUCAAAUGAGAGGAAUUGGGAUUGGAGCUCCUUAGAGCUCCAGUGGGAUACACUCCAAUGGGUGUAUCUGUGGGCUGAUUUUUUUGCUGCAUUAUGCUGCAUUUGUAAAAUGGCUAUGCCGCCAUGCCUGUAUUGGCCAAAACUGGACCCUAUCAUAGAGAGAACUGCUGUUCUGCUGAUGAGAUUUCGGCUCCCGAAAAGUUUUCAUGAUUUAUGCUAGCCUUUUUUUUUUUUUUUUUUAAACCCCUUUUCUAUCCUUGAG